rnacentral:rRNA from 1 species
GAUGAACGCUAGCGGCGGGCAUAAUACAUGCAAGUCGAACGGGAUAAGUUGUAGCAAUACGACUUUGAGAGUGGCGCACGGGUGCGUAACACGUAUGCAACUUGCCCUUAACAGGGGGAUAGCUUUCGGAAACGAAAAUUAAUACCCCAUAUUAUUACUUAUAUGCAUGUAUGAGUAAUGAAAGCUCCGGCGGUUAAGGAUGGGCAUGCGGCUGAUUAGCUAGUUGGCGAGGUAAAGGCUCACCAAGGCGACGAUCAGUAGGGGGUCUGAGAGGAUGUCCCCCCACACUGGUACUGAGACACGGACCAGACUCCUACGGGAGGCAGCAGUAGGGAAUAUUGGUCAAUGGAGGCAACUCUGAACCAGCCACGCCGCGUGCAGGAUGAAGGCCCUCUGGGUUGUAAACUGCUUUUGUUAGGGAAAAAACCCCUCGAUGCGUUGAGGGUUGAUGGUACCUAAAGAAUAAGGAUCGGCUAACUCCGUGCCAGCCGCCGCCGUAAAAC